rnacentral:rRNA from 1 species
CAGCAGUCGCCGCGGGAAUACGAAGGGUGCAAGCGUUAAUCGGAAUUACUGGGCGUAAAGCGUGCGUAGGCGGUUUGUUAAGUCUGCUGUGAAAUCCCCGGGCUCAACCUGGGAAUGGCAGUGGAUACUGGCAAGCUAGAGUGUGUCAGAGGAUGGUGGAAUUCCCGGUGUAGCGGUGAAAUGCGUAGAGAUCUGGAGGAAUACCGAUGGCGAAGGCAGCCAUCUGGCCUAAUACUGACGCUGAGGUACGAAAGCAUGGGGAGCAAACAGGAUUAGAGACCCCCGUAGUCCCUGUCUCUUAUAC